UUUGGCUAAGUGACUUGGGCCUACCACAUCCUAUAUAGAGUCUACUCUCUGUACCUCUAUGUAUUUCUAUUUGAGAUAAUCGCAUAUACCACUGUUAUAUAUGUUUGAAUUUUUGCUGAGACCUUGACUUCUUAGCAAGGACUAUGGGGUCAUUGUCUUUGCAGUAUAGUGUCAUGGCAUCUGAUGGUAUGACAUCUAAUUUUAUAACUAACAUAAGAACUAGAAUGCAUCCUAUACAUCUUUAGCAUACUCAUCUUCCAUU
rnacentral:lncRNA from 1 species